GACGAACGCUGGCGGCGUGCUUAACACAUGCAAGUCGAACGAAGAGCGAUGGAAGCUUGCUUCUAUCAAUCUUAGUGGCGAACGGGUGAGUAACGCGUAAUCAACCUGCCCUUCAGAGGGGGACAACAGUUGGAAACGACUGCUAAUACCGCAUACGAUCUAAUCUCGGCAUCGAGGAUAGAUGAAAGGUGGCCUCUACAUGUAAGCUAUCACUGAAGGUGGGGAUUGCGUCUGAUUAGCUAGUUGGUGGGGUAACGGCCCACCAAGGCGAUGAUCAGUAGCCGGUCUGAGAGGAUGAACGGCCCCAUUGGGACUGGGACACGGCCCAGACUCCUACGGGAGGCAGCAGUGGGGAAUCUUCCGCAAUGGACGAAAGUCCGGCGGAGCAACGCCGCGUGAGUGAUGACGGCCUUCGGGUUGGAAAGCUCUGUUAAUCGGGACGAAAGGCCUUCUUGCGAACAGUUAGAAGGAUUGACGGUACCGGAAUAGAAAGCCACGGCUAACUACGUG
rnacentral:rRNA from 1 species